AGUUGGAGCAGUGAAAACCAUGCCGACUAACCAAAAGAAAAUGAAUCCGCGCGAAGCAGAAAAGGUGUCCAAACUACGACAGGAAAUGUCAUGUAAACUGAAGAGGAAAGUUCCGUUUUCCACCAUAACAAGGAAACAGGCACCGAAAGAUAAAAACAAGGACGUAUUGCCGGAGGAGAGCCUGGAGAAGUUGGUGCACUUUAAUUCGUGCGCGGUCGUCAGUAGUAGCCACGCCCUGAGGUUUCACUCGUACGGGCAGGAAAUAGACAGUCACGAUGCCGUGCUGAGAUUCAACUGCGCUCCCACGCACAAGUUUGAACAGUUCGUCGGAAACCGGACGGACUUUCGUCUCAUCAACACAAGAAUUCCGCACUGGGCAUGCAAAGAGGAAUUCUGGAGUGAAAACAGUACCAUGUUCAGACACGGGACACUAGUUGUCAGAAACAUGGACGGUAUAAACUUGGGACCGCGAGGUGUAGUAGACGCUAAAAAGGAUACUCAUCAUUCUUUUGAAAACUUGAUAAAAUACCAGGCAGACAUAUCCGAACAGGUCGUUGCCUUUCAUACAGAGACCUAGAUUCGGGCAGGACAUUAAAACGGAAUUAACACGUUUCUGUGACUCUACUAAAAUGUGUGACAAGACAAGGUGGAGUCCAAGUACAGGCUUAUUUGGUGUUGUGAUGAUGAUGCACCUCUGUGACUGGGUCUACGCCUACGAGCUCGUUCCUUCCAACAAGGACGACACGAAAUACGUCUAUUACUACGAAGAGACAUUACGGUCUCCGCACGACCUACAUUCGUACCACCAAGAACGAACUUACGUCAAAACAUUGUCACUGACUCCCGAUAAAGAUAUAGAGGAUACCGGCGUGCUGCUGUUAAAAGGACUCUCACAGACUCAAUGUGGUUGAUUUACUACGCUAGUUUAUUACCUCUAUCCACGGGGUAACCUAUAUCCGUUGUUCUAAAUAAGGGUAAAUAGCAAUGUCAAGUCGGACGGUUGUUUCAAAGUGCAAUAUUUUCGAAAUACACCGUCCGUUGACUUGAUAUGACUAAAUAUCUUGUGUUCUGAAACAACGGAUAUAGGUUACCCCGCAGAUACAGGUGAACUAGGGUUGAUAUUAUGAUUUGAUUAUUUGCCCUGGCUAUAUAGAGCUGUAUAUGACCGACGAUUCGGAAAUCUAUGUUUUGCAUUAAUUUCAAUUGCAUACAGCAUCUAAUGGUUAUGAUGCAGUCCUAGGCCUUAUUCUAAUUGUAAACAAAGAAUGUACAAUCAAUACAACGUUUUGACCUCAGA